CGUACUCGUAUGGCUUCAUCGUUGGAUAUAGCUUUGCAUAAGUCCCAAAAAAGGCUGAUACAAGAGCAGGCACACAAUAUUUUCAGAAAUCAGAGUAAGAUUCAAAGGUGGAAGCUUUAUUUAGACCAGAUGAUCUUUAUAUAUACAUACCUACUACGAAGAUGCUAACAGCAUUGAAAACCUCUGCCCAUUUUCCAGUCAUUUCAGAUAUUUUAGCCAUGCCAAGAGCCAAUCCUCCUGCAGAUAAUGUUCCUAUUCCCCGGUUACAUCCUUUGCUAAAGGUGGCUCCUACGUUAAUAAGAGAAGAUCACACAUAUCAGGUAUUGAAUUCGCUAAAAUGUUCAAGUUUCAUUUGUUGAGUCUGUUGCAUUUACCUAUACUGAACUCGAAGAUAACAACUAUCGUGAGAAUUGCCCACAGAUAGUGGUUGCUGAGCUCUGAUCCUGGGAGCUUAAAGAAGAUGAGAAUGGAGACGAGUGUCAGAGCCAAACCCAUCUUCGCCGAGAAUAUAAUCUUCCUCGGGU
rnacentral:lncRNA from 1 species